rnacentral:rRNA from 1 species
GGCCUUCGCUUCUAACCGUCCCUUUGCCGGGACAAACAUCACUUUGAACUUGACCUCAAAUCAGGCGGGACUACCCGCUGAACUUAAGCAUAUCAAUAAGCGGAGGAAAAGAAACUAACAAGGAUUCCCCUAGUAACUGCGAGUGAAGCGGGAAGAGCUCAAAUUUAAAAUCUGGCGGUUUUGCCGUCCGAGUUGUAAUUUAGAGAAGCGUUUUCCGCGCCGGACCGUGUACAAGUCUCCUGGAACGGAGCGUCAUAGAGGGUGAGAAUCCCGUCUUUGACACGGACGCCCGGUGCUAUGUGAUACGCUCUCGAAGAGUCGAGUUGUUUGGGAAUGCAGCUCAAAACGGGUGGUGAACUCCAUCUAAAGCUAAAUAUUGGCGAGAGACCGAUAGCGAACAAGUACCGUGAGGGAAAGAUGAAAAGCACUUUGGAAAGAGAGUGAAACAGUACGUGAAAUUGCUGAAAGGGAAACGCUUGAAGUCAGUCGCGUCCGCCGGGAUUCAGCCUUUUGGUGUACUUUCUGGUGGACGGGCCAGCAUCACUUUUGGUCGCCGGAGAAAGGCGGAGGGAAUGUGGCACCCUCGGGUGUGUUAUAGCCCUCCGUCGUAUACGGUGUCUGGGAGUGAGGACCGCCUUUUUGUAGGAUGCUGGCGUAAUGGCUUUAAACGACCCGUCUUGAAACACGGACCAAGGAGUCUAACAUGCUCGCGAGUGUUCGGGUGGAAAACCCGUGCGCGUAAUGAAAGUGAAAGUUGGGAAGGCUGUCGUGGCCCGCACCGACGCCCGGACUUGAGAUUUAUCGACGGU